GCAGGCUUAACACAUGCAAGUCGAGCGGAGCGAGGGUGCUUGCACCUUAGCUUAGCGGCGGACGGGUGAGUAAUGCUUAGGAAUCUGCCUAUUAGUGGGGGACAACAUUCCGAAAGGAAUGCUAAUACCGCAUACGCCCUACGGGGGAAAGCAGGGGAUCUUCGGACCUUGCGCUAAUAGAUGAGCCUAAGUCGGAUUAGCUAGUUGGUGGGGUAAAGGCCUACCAAGGCGACGAUCUGUAGCGGGUCUGAGAGGAUGAUCCGCCACACUGGGACUGAGACACGGCCCAGACUCCUACGGGAGGCAGCAGUGGGGAAUAUUGGACAAUGGGCGGAAGCCUGAUCCAGCCAUGCCGCGUGUGUGAAGAAGGCCUUUUGGUUGUAAAGCACUUUAAGCGAGGAGGAGGCUACUUAGAUUAAUACUCUAGGAUAGUGGACGUUACUCGCAGAAUAAGCACCGGCUAACUCUGUGCCAGCAGCCGCGGUAAUACAGAGGGUGCGAGCGUUAAUCGGAUUUACUGGGCGUAAAGCGUGCGUAGGCGGCUUUUUAAGUCGGAUGUGAAAUCCCCGAGCUUAACUUGGGAAUUGCAUUCGAUACUGGGAAGCUAGAGUAUGGGAGAGGAUGGUAGAAUUCCAGGUGUAGCGGUGAAAUGCGUAGAGAUCUGGAGGAAUACCGAUGGCGAAGCAGCCAUCUGGCCUAAUACUGACGCUGAGUAC
rnacentral:rRNA from 1 species